rnacentral:rRNA from 1 species
CGAAAGCCUGACGGAGCAAUACCGCGUGAGGGAAGAAGGCUUUUGGGUUGUAAACCUCUUUUGUCAGGGAAGAAGAAUUGACGGUGCCUGAAGAAAAAGCAUCGGCUAACUCCGUGCCAGCAGCCGCGGUAAUACGGAGGAUGCAAGCGUUAUCCGGAAUCAUUGGGCGUAAAGGGCCCGCAGGUGGCGAAUAAAGUCUGCUGUUAAAGACCGGGGCUUAACUCCGGAAAGGCAGUGGAAACUGAUUAGCUAGAGUACGGUAGGGGUAGAGGGAAUUCCCAGUGUAGCGGUGAAAUGCGUAGAUAUUGGGAAGAACACCGGUGGCGAAAGCGCUCUACUAGGCCGAAACUGACACUGAGGGACGAAAGCUAGGGUAGCGAAAGGGAUUAGAUACCCCUGUAGUCUUAGCGGUAAACGAUGGAUACUAGGUGUAGCUUGUAUCGACCCGAGCUGUGCCGAAGCUAACGCGAUAAGUAUCCCGCCUGGGGAGUACGCACGCAAGUGUGAAACUCAAAGGAAUUGACGGGGGCCCGCACAGGCGGUGGAGUAUGUGGUUUAAUUCGAUGCAACGCGAAGAACCUUACCAGGGCUUGACAUGUCGCGAAUCUAGCGGAAACGUUAGAGUGCCUUAGGGAAUGCGAACACAGGUGGUGCAUGGCUGUCGUCAGCUCGUGUCGUGAGAUGUUGGGUUAAGUCCCGCAACGAGCGCAACCCUCGUCCUUAGUUGCCAAUAUUAAGUUAGGCACUCUAGGGAGACUGCCGGGGACAACUCGGAGGAAGGUGGGGAUGACGUCAAGUCAGCAUGCCCCUUACGUCCUGGGCUACACACGUACUACAAUGGUUGGGACAAAGGGCAGCAAGCUCGCGAGAGUAAGCGAAUCUCAUCAAACCCAGCCACAGUUCAGAUUGCAGGCUGCAACUCGCCUGCAUGAAGUAGGAAUCGCUAGUAAUCGCAGGUCAGCAUACUGCGGUGAAUUCGUUCCCGGGCCUUGUACACACCGCCCGUCACACCAUGGAAGCUGGCUACGCCCGAAGUCGUUACCCUAACCCGGUUUUGGGAGGGGGAUGCCGAAGGUAGAGCUAGUGACUGGGGUGAAGUCGUAACAAGGUAGCCGUACCGGAAGGUGUGGCUGGAUCACCUCCUUU